rnacentral:rRNA from 1 species
AACUGCGAAUGGCUCAUUAAAUCAGUUAUCGUUUAUUUGAUAGUACCCUACUACAUGGAUACCUGUGGUAAUUCUAGAGCUAAUACAUGCGCAAAACCCCGACUUCGGAAGGGGUGUAUUUAUUAGAUAAAAAACCAAUGCCCUUCGGGGCUCCUUGGUGAUUCAUAAUAACUUCACGAAUCGCAUGGCCUUGCGCCGGCGAUGGUUCAUUCAAAUUUCUGCCCUAUCAACUUUCGAUGGUAGGAUAGUGGCCUACCAUGGUGGCAACGGGUAACGGGGAAUUAGGGUUCGAUUCCGGAGAGGGAGCCUGAGAAACGGCUACCACAUCCAAGGAAGGCAGCAGGCGCGCAAAUUACCCAAUCCCGAUACGGGGAGGUAGUGACAAUAAAUACUGAUACAGGGCUCUUUUGGGUCUUGUAAUUGGAAUGAGAACAAUCUAAAUCCCUUAACGAGGAACAAUUGGAGGGCAAGUCUGGUGCCAGCAGCCGCGGUAAUUCCAGCUCCAAUAGCGUAUAUUAAAGUUGUUGCAGUUAAAAAGCUCGUAGUUGAACCUUGGGCCCGUCCUGCCGGUCCGCCUCACCGCGAGUACUGGUCCGGAUGGGCCUUUCUUUCUGGGGAAUCCCAUGGCCUUCACUGGCUGUGGCGGGGAACCAGGACUUUUACUGUGAAAAAAUUAGAGUGUUCAAAGCAGGCCUUUGCUCGGAUACAUUAGCAUGGAAUAAUAGAAUAGGACGUGCGGUUCUAUUUUGUUGGUUUCUAGGACCGCCGUAAUGAUUAAUAGGGAUAGUCGGGGGCGUCAGUAUUCAGCUGUCAGAGGUGAAAUUCUUGGAUUUGCUGAAGACUAACUACUGCGAAAGCAUUCGCCAAGGAUGUUUUCAUUAAUCAGGGAACGAAAGUUAGGGGAUCGAAGACGAUCAGAUACCGUCGUAGUCUUAACCAUAAACUAUGCCGACUAGGGAUCGGGCGGGGUUUCUAUGAUGACCCGCUCGGCACCUUACGAGAAAUCAAAGUUU